AGAGUUUGAUCAUGGCUCAGAUUGAACGCUGGCGGCAUGCCUAACACAUGCAAGUCGAACGGCAGCACAGCAGUAGCAAUACUGUGGGUGGCGAGUGGCGGACGGGUGAGGAAUACGUCGGAAUCUGCCCAGUCGUGGGGGAUAACUAGCCGAAAGGUUAGCUAAUACCGCAUACGACCGAGAGGUGAAAGCGGGGGACCGCAAGGCCUCGCGCGAUUGGAUGAGCCGACGUCGGAUUAGCUAGUUGGCGGGGUAAAGGCCCACCAAGGCGACGAUCCGUAGCUGGUCUGAGAGGAUGAUCAGCCACACUGGAACUGAGACACGGUCCAGACUCCUACGGGAGGCAGCAGUGGGGAAUAUUGGACAAUGGGCGCAAGCCUGAUCCAGCAAUGCCGCGUGUGUGAAGAAGGCCUUCGGGUUGUAAAGCACUUUUAUCAGGAACGAAAAGCGUUGGAUUAAUACUCUGACGUGCUGACGGUACCUGAGGAAUAAGCACCGGCUAACUUCGUGCCAGCAGCCGCGGUAAUACGAAGGGUGCAAGCGUUAAUCGGAAUUACUGGGCGUAAAGCGUGCGUAGAUGGUUCGCUAAGUCGGAUGUGAAAGCCCCGGGCUCAACCUGGGAACUGCAUCCGAUACUGGCGGACUAGAGUGUGAUAGAGGAUGGCGGAAUUCCCGGUGUAGCGGUGAAAUGCGUAGAGAUCGGGAGGAACAUCCGUGGCGAAGGCGGCCAUCUGGAUCAACACUGACGCUGAGGCACGAAAGCGUGGGGAGCAAACAGGAUUAGAUACCCCGGUAGU
rnacentral:rRNA from 1 species